UUAGAACUCUUCCUAACACAAGGGUUUCUUCUUGGACAUCCCACUGAGUUCACUGAAGCAAAAGUGACCAAAGGGACCAAGUGGAUCCUUGUGCUCACCCAUAUCCACGUCAUCAAAGUUAAAGCUGUUUAAUGGCUAAGCGGAGUAACGUCUGGUAAGAAAAACAUCAAAGAGAUUGAAGCAUCCAAAGAAGGAGGGAAAGGUGAUGGGAUGUCAUUUCCCUCAUUAGUUUACAAGAUUGUAACUUCUGUCCUGCUAGCAGACUCUCUCCUGGCUUUGAUGAAGCAAGCUGCCAUGUUGGAGAGGCCUACAUGACAAGGAACUGAAGGUUGCCUCCAGCCAACUCCAGCCAACAGCCAUCCAGGAAUUGAGGCUCUCAGUCCAACAGGCCUUGAGGAACUGCAUCCAGCCAGCAACUGUAGAAGUGAGCAAAGAAGUGUGUAUUUCCCCAGUCAAGCCUUCAGCUGAGACCCCAGCCCCAGCUGACACCUUAAUUGCAGCCUUGUGAGAGACCUUGGAGCAGAGAACCCAGAUUCUUCGGCGGGACCCACCCAGUUCCUGGACCCUGCCCUGGCCACUCCAGUGUCCACAAUCGCAAAACCCAUCCAUACACACACCUGCACUGACUGCUCACCUGUGAGAUACUCAGGAAUCAGCAACGUUUUCUAAAUGAAGGUAAGUUACGGUUUUCAGGAAAAUAUUCCUAUCUCUGGUCCUUUUCAGAGCUGCGAGUUCUCUCCUCCCUUCU
rnacentral:lncRNA from 1 species